rnacentral:rRNA from 1 species
AGGUCAGUAGGUUGGUCGUGCCACCGGUACGUACUGGUCUCACUGAUUCCUCCUUCCUGAAGAACCGUAAUGCCAUUAAUUUGGUGUUGCGGGGAAACAGGACUGUUACUUUGAAAAAAUUAGAGUGUUUAAAGCAAGCUAACGCUUGAAUACAUUAGCAUGGAAUAAUGAAAUAGGACGACCGAUCCUAUUUUGUUGGUUUCUAGGAUUGACGUA